rnacentral:rRNA from 1 species
UACCGAUGGCGAAGGCAGCCAUCUGGCCUAAUACUGACGCUGAGGUACGAAAGCAUGGGGAGCAAACAGGAUUAGAUACCCUGGUAGUCCAUGCCGUAAACGAUGUCUACUAGCCGUUGGGGCCUUUGAGGCUUUAGUGGCGCAGCUAACGCGAUAAGUAGACCGCCUGGGGAGUACGGUCGCAAGACUAAAACUCAAAUGAAUUGACGGGGGCCCGCACAAGCGGUGGAGCAUGUGGUUUAAUUCGAUGCAACGCGAAGAACCUUACCUGGCCUUGACAUAGUAAGAACUUUCCAGAGAUGGAUUGGUGCCUUCGGGAACUUACAUACAGGUGCUGCAUGGCUGUCGUCAGCUCGUGUCGUGAGAUGUUGGGUUAAGUCCCGCAACGAGCGCAACCCUUUUCCUUAUUUGCCAGCGAGUAAUGUCGGGAACUUUAAGGAUACUGCCAGUGACAAACUGGAGGAAGGCGGGGACGACGUCAAGUCAUCAUGGCCCUUACGGCCAGGG